rnacentral:rRNA from 1 species
AUUGAACGCUGGCGGAAUGCUUUACACAUGCAAGUCGAGCGGCAGCGCGGGGCAACCUGGCGGCGAGCGGCGAACGGGUGAGUAAUGCAUCGGAACGUACCUUGUAGUGGGGGAUAACUAUCCGAAAGGAUGGCUAAUACCGCAUACGACCUGAGGGUGAAAGGGGGGGAUCGCAAGACCUCUCGCUAUAAGAGCGGCCGAUGUUCGAUUAGCUAGUUGGUGAGGUAAAGGCUCACCAAGGCGACGAUCGAUAGCUGGUCUGAGAGGAUGAUCAGCCACACGGGGACUGAGACACGGCCCAGACUCCUACGGGAGGCAGCAGUGGGGAAUUUUGGACAAUGGGGGCAACCCUGAUCCAGCCAUUCCGCGUGAGUGAAGAAGGCCUUCGGGUUGUAAAGCUCUUUCGGCAGGAACGAAACGAUGGUCCCUAAUACGGAUUGCUAAUGACGGUACCUGAAGAAGAAGCACCGGCUAACUACGUGCCAGCAGCCGCAGUAAAAC